rfam:Serpula lacrymans var. lacrymans S7.3 unplaced genomic scaffold SERLA73scaffold_4, whole genome shotgun sequence.
GGCCGCCUGGCGAAAUGGCAUCGCGUCUGACUACGAUUAAGUCGGCGAUCAGGAGAUUGCAGGUUCGACCCCUGCGGUGGUCA